rnacentral:tRNA from 1 species
CAGGGGAUAGUUUAAAUAGAAUAUUAAUUUUGGGGAUUAAUGAUAAAGUAUAAUACUUUUCCCCUGA